UAGGGAAUCUUCGGCAAUGGGGGGAACCCUGACCGAGCAACGCCGCGUGAGUGAAGAAGGUUUUCGGAUCGUAAAGCUCUGUUGUUAAGGAAGAACGAGUGUGAGAAUGGAAAGUUCAUGCUGUGACGGUACUUAACCAGAAAGGGACGGCUAACUACGUGCCAGCAGCCGCGGUAAUACGUAGGUCCCGAGCGUUGUCCGGAUUUAUUGGGCGUAAAGCGAGCGCAGGCGGUUAGAAAAGUCUGAAGUGAAAGGCAGUGGCUCAACCAUUGUAGGCUUUGGAAACUGUUUAACUUGAGUGCAGAAGGGGAGAGUGGAAUUCCAUGUGUAGCGGUGAAAUGCGUAGAUAUAUGGAAGAACACCGGUGGCGAAAGCGGCUCUCUGGUCUGUAACUGACGCUGAGGCUCGAAAGCGUGGGGAGCGAACAGG
rnacentral:rRNA from 2 species